UACUUUGAUCAGUUCACUGUUGUUGUGUGUAUUGUGUGUAUUUGAGUCUAUUGUCCUGUUCUUAUUGAGAUAUAUGAGUUCCCGUGUCAACCCCAUUAAUACUCUCUGUACAGGAAAGAAAUUCCUGAAAAUUAGGAGUAGGGUUAUCAGGAUGUGGGAUAUAUGCCCUGUGAACGACCCAUUGAAUCCAUUUGCUAUUCCUAUUGUAUUAAUUGAUGCUGAGGGCAACAAAAUUGAGGCAUAUCAUUGAAGGUUACUAUGAACAUGAAGAGCAAGCAUGUUUCUGGGACCAUCACCAAAAAGAAACAGAUUGGGUAGUAAUUGCUUCUAAAUUCAAGGACAUAACGACAAGACAGUGCAGAAAUGGUACACUUACUUGAAUUCUGACUUCAAGAAAGGAGGAUGGUCUCCAGAGGAAGAUAUGCUCUUAUGUGAGGUAGAUUGUUGUUCCCUGUGUUCCAAAGCUCCACUUUCAUGCUACACAGUUGGCAUAGGAAUUUAACAUGCUUACUUUAUAAUAUUUAUCUAUAGAGCUUGUAAAAUAUGGGCUUCAUUUAUAAUAUUGAUCAUUAGAACUUGUAAAAUAUGGACGUCAUCUUUUUUUUUUUGUAUUUUCCCGCUUUGUGCGUAGGUUUCAAUCCAUUCAUGUAAUUAAGGAUAUUUUUAGUGCUACUAUCACUGAAAAGCCAUUUGUUCGGUAUCAAAACCUACUUUAGCCAGAGUAGGUUACAUGAACGUUAUGUACAAAUGUUGAGUAAAGCAUAUAACUUGGUACUGAAAGUGAGCAGUUACCUGCUAUAGUGAGAGUUUCCGUUUAGAUAUAAUUGAUUUGGCUAUUUGUGAAAUUAGGUUCCAAACUUUUGAUGGCAUUCCCACAGUUUUGUGCGCAGUUAUCAAUUUCUAAUUUACUUUCUAUCAUUUGCAUCAUUGUUGGAAAUAUUUGGUUACUUCAAUUCUAAAUUAAAUCCAACUAGAUCCAAGUCUACGUGCAUGAAAUUACCUGUAUAUUGCACAACAGUUCUAGCAUUAAUUUACUAACUGUGUUUCAUUUUCUCUUUGAGAACACUUCCCACUAAGGUGUGUUUUAGACAGGAGUUGUGGUUGAGGCUGGCUUAGGGAGAUAAGAUGGCGGGUGCUCUGUCUAUUGCAGGUUCAUCGAUGCUGGACUGUAGAGAAAUGCUGCUUUCAAACUGUCUCCUUUACAAAGAUGAGAUCUGUUUCAAUCCUCAUUAUGAGCAACUCUUUUAGCUGGAAUUAGAACCACUGCAAGGCUAGAGAAGGGACGUGGAAGAGUAAAUUAAGAGCGGUAAAGCAGAGCUAAGGUUGAAUCCUUAUUGGCCAGAGACAUGGAGACAUCUAUUAACAAUACUACAAAGGAAGGGAGAUCAAUUUUCUCUACAUACAUUGAUACAAUAUACCCCUUUUCCUGUAGUUUUGCUGCUUUCGAGUCCAUUAACUGGCUACAAGAAACCAAUUAUGCCAUCUUCUCAAGAUGAAUGCUCCAAUGUCCAAACCCUUACUUUAAUCCCUAUUAUGAAUUUAUUUUCCUUCUUUUAUAUAUUUAUUAUUUACUCUGUUUCCUUUUAUGAUUUUAGAGAUAUCUUGACUCAAUGAGUUGUUUUUUGGGUGCAGUUCACUGCAUAUGCUUAGUCUGAGAAAGAGGGACAUUUAAAGUUUUUCUUGGUCACAACUCGCUUGCUUAAACAGUUGAAAUUUCAGGUGGUGAACUGUUUAUGCUUUGUCUGAAAGACUUCUAAAGUGGAUUAAUAGAUCCAAAAGUAUAAUUUCAGUGGUGUUAGCUUGGCAUGGGCUGAAGAUGCAAGUUCAUUAUUUUUCUAAAGUAGAUUAAUAGAUCCAAAAGUAUAAUUUCAAUGGUGUUAGCUUGGCAUGGACUCAAGAUGCAAGUUCAUUAUUUUACACUAUGUCAGAUGAAAGCAGUGACCUAACAGGAUUAUUUGUAAAAAAUACUUGGAUAUGAUCUUGCGAAUGAUUUUGUAGUAUUUACAAAAAGUGAUUCCAAUUAUUGCGUGGACAUAACAAGCACAAAAGAUGGCAAGUUCAUUACUGUGAACUUGAACUUAAUGACUUCAUUGGAGGAAGGAAGUAGACAAAAUGAAAAGGCCAACUCUUUUUUGUGGGUUUGUGAGUGUGUCACCAUUUUGCUGAGAAAAAUUAGUGUGAGUGUUGCAUCAGAGGGAGAAUUGGGAUAUUUGAAUAAAGGUGCCCCUUGGAGCAGUUCCUACCAGUUUUAUGUACUUAUCAUUUACUUCUCUUUGUUUCUGGUUUGAUAACGUUAUUCACCAAUCGCAUGUACCUUAAGGUUACAAAUAUAAUUUUAAAAGUGGUUAGGUUACAUUCUAUAUGAAUACUUAAUUCCUUUUCUAUA